GCUCGCAAGAGAACCGGAACACAGGUGCUGCAUGGCUGUCGUCAGCUCGUGUCGUGAGAUGUUGGGUUAAGUCCCGCAACGAGCGCAACCCUUGUCAUUAGUUGCUACGAAAGGGCACUCUAAUGAGACUGCCGGUGACAAACCGGAGGAAGGUGGGGAUGACGUCAAGUCCUCAUGGCCCUUAUGGGUAGGGCUUCACACGUCAUACAAUGGUCGGGACAGAGGGUCGCCAACCCGCGAGGGGGAGCCAAUCCCGUAAAGCCGGUCGUAGUCCGGAUCGCAGUCUGCAACUCGACUGCGUGAAGUCGGAAUCGCUAGUAAUCGUGGAUCAGCAUGUCACGGUGAAUACGUUCCCGGGUCUU
rnacentral:rRNA from 1 species